rfam:Photobacterium damselae subsp. damselae CIP 102761 Contig58, whole genome shotgun sequence.
ACUAAGGGUAGAGGUGCAUUGUCUAUAAGUAACUAACUCGAGGGUGAUUCCAUUGACGGUUAGAGAAAGGAGCCAAUGCCGAAGUAAGAGAAGGGUAUCAAACCCUCUUGCUGGGGUUGUGUCGAAUAGGUACAACACUGCCAUAGUAAAAUUUUAAUAUUAACUAUGGAGCGCUACUGUGGGG